UUUUCUUAUUACAAGCUAUAGCUGUACUCUUUUAUUUAGAAAAUAAGCUGCAUCAUUUUCAAGUGUAAUAUGACUAUAACAUGGCUAGCUUGUUUUUCAUCUUAGGUCCAUCUCUAUCCUCUGUGCCCACUGUCCCGUUUGUGUCUUCUGCAACCUCAGCUGUACCUGGUCCUUCAUCUUUGGUCAUCGAGAUUGAUUUGUCCUCAUCAGCGUCCAGUUUGGAGCAGGGAUCAGCAGCUCCGCCAGUUGACCCCACUGAGUGUCCCUCUUUCCUGUCAGACUCAGAAAGGACUGAACAGGUAUUAAGAGGGCCACUGCCUAUAGAGGACACAUUCAUAUUCCCAAAAAGACACGAUGGCCGAAGCCCCCCCCAUUUUACCAAAGAUUUUGCACAUUUUUACAUAGUUUUCAGACCUAAUUCAUCUUAAUAUUUUAUUUAUAAACUAUUUGUGUUACCUUGUACCUAGUAUUUGUCUGAUUUUUUAAAAUGUAUUGUAUUUAAUACUGUCUGUUUUCGUACAUUUGGUGUUGCAGUUUAUUUAAAAAAAUAAUAAUAAAGCAGAUUGUGUUUGCAGUAAAUGAUUAGUUUAUUUUGUUACUUUUAAUUGGCCUAGAUGACAUUUGGUAUCCCACUUAGUACUAUAUCACUUUGAAUAUUAAGUGUUAAUCAACCUCAGGCUGCUCUUGUAGCUGAAUAUGCUACCAUUUCAGAUUAAAAACCAUAGAUGGGUAAAACAUGUCGGGCUGCUCUUUAAGGUUUUAUGUAUUGACUACUACUGUGUCGCCAGUAGGGGGAGUUGCUGACUUUGCCAAAUAUUAAUUGAAAGAUUUUUCUGUAAAUUUGCAAAUCUGGUGUCUGCUUCUAUGGCAUUAAUCGCUGUGGAUUACAAUCUAACUACAGCAAAAACUUCUCACAUUUAGUUUUACAAGUGUCUUCGUAAUGAUAAUAAUGUCAAUAAUCAUUAUUAUUGGCAGUAAUAGAGGGCCCCAAAAUCGAAUUUUGCUUAGGGCCCCAUGGAGGCUUGGGCCGGCCCUGGUUUGCACGCCCAAUUUCUGUAACUUCUCAUAAGCCAUGCAC
rnacentral:lncRNA from 1 species